GGCGCGUUUAAUGAUCCAGCGCUUUAGAGCGGCUCAGAGAGGAUCACUGUCAGCGCUCCCACUUAACACAAUUAUAACUGUUACUCUUCUUAGGUGUGUUGAUAUAAAGGACUGCUGACAUAGAUCACUGUCAGGGGUGUUUGCCAGCCUCCAUGCACAGGUCUCUGGGCUUUCUCUCCAUCUCCAGCAGCACCUGAACCUGGAUCAA
rnacentral:lncRNA from 1 species